UCUACGGGAGGCAGCAGUGGGGGAUAUUGCACAAUGGGGGGAACCCUGAUGCAGCGACGCCGCGUGGGUGAAGAAGUACUUCGUUGUGUAAAGCUCUGUCAGCAGGGAAGAAAAUGACGGUACCUGAGUAAGAAGCCCCGGCUAACUACGUGCCAGCAGCCGCGGUAAUACGUAGGGGGCAAGCGUUAUCCGGAUUUACUGGGUGUAAAGGGGGCGUAGACGGCAGUGCAAGUCUGGAGUGAAAGGCGGGGGCUCAACCCCCGGACUGCUCUGGAAACUGUACGGCUGGAGUGCAGGAGAGGUAAGUGGAAUUCCUGGUGUAGCGGUGAAAUGCUUAGAUAUCACGAAGAACCCCGAUUGCGAAGGCAGCUUACUAAACUGCGACUGACAUUGAUGCCCGAAAGCGUGGGUAGCAAACAGGAUUAGAUACCCGGGUAGUC
rnacentral:rRNA from 1 species